UACGUAGGGUCCGAGCGUUGUCCGGAAUUACUGGGCGUAAAGAGCUCGUAGGUGGUUUGUCGCGUUGUUCGUGAAAACUCACAGCUUAACUGUGGGCGUGCGGGCGAUACGGGCAGACUAGAGUACUGCAGGGGAGACUGGAAUUCCUGGUGUAGCGGUGGAAUGCGCAGAUAUCAGGAGGAACACCGGUGGCGAAGGCGGGUCUCUGGGCAGUAACUGACGCUGAGGAGCGAAGGCGUGGGGAGCGAACAGG
rnacentral:rRNA from 1 species